CAUACCUACGGGAGGCAGCAGUGGGGAAUAUUGCACAAUGGGGGAAACCCUGAUGCAGCGACGCCGCGUGAGCGAUGAAGUAUUUCGGUAUGUAAAGCUCUAUCAGCAGGGAAGAAGAUGACGGUACCUGACUAAGAAGCCCCGGCUAAAUACGUGCCAGCAGCCGCGGUAAUACGUAUGGAGCAAGCGUUAUCCGGAAUUACUGGGUGUAAAGGGAGCGUAGGCGGCAAGGCAAGUCUGAUGUGAAAACCCAGGGCCCAACCCUGGGACUGCAUUGGAAACUGUAUUGCUUGAUUACCGGAGAG
rnacentral:rRNA from 1 species